rnacentral:rRNA from 1 species
AUUGAACGCUGGCGGCAGGCCUAACACAUGCAAGUCGAGCGAGCGGCGGACGGGUGAGUAAUGUAUGGGGACUGCCCGAUAGAGGGGGAUAACUACUGGAAACGGUGGCUAAUACCGCAUACUAUCGGAUAACCCAUAUGGGAUUAGCUAGUAGGUGGGGUAAAGGCUCACCUAGGCGACGAUCUCUAGCUGGUCUGAGAGGAUGAUCAGCAACACGUGGACGGAGACACGGCCCAGACUCCUACGGAGGCAGCAGUGGGGAAUAUUGCACAAUGGGCGCAAGCCUGAUGCAGCCAUGCCGCGUGUAUGAAGAAGGGCUUAGGGUUGGAAGGUACUUUUAGCGAGGAGGCGUUAACCGCACAGCAAGCACCUGCUAACUCCGUGCCAGCAGCCGCGGUAAUUC